UACGGGGGGAGCAAGCGUUGUUCGGAUUUACUGGGCGUAAAGGGCGCGUAGGCGGCCAGCGCAAGUCGGUUGUGAAAUCUCCGAGCUUAACUCGGAAAGGUCAACCGAUACUGCGCGGCUAGAGUGCGGAAGGGGCAACUGGAAUUCUCGGUGUAGCGGUGAAAUGCGUAGAUAUCGAGAGGAACACCUGCGGCGAAGGCGGGUUGCUGGGCCGACACUGACGCUGAGGCGCGAAAGCCAGGGGAGCGAACGGG
rnacentral:rRNA from 1 species